UACGGUGGGUGCAAGCGUUGUCCGGCUUUAUUGGGUUUAAAGGGUGCGUAGGCGGGUAAUUAAGUCAGUGGUGAAAGCCCACAGCUCAACUGUGGAACUGCCAUUGAUACUGGUUAUCUUGAGUAUAGUUGAGGCAGGCGGAAUUUACGAUGUAGCGGUGAAAUGCAUAGAUAUCGUAAAGAACACCGAUAGCGAAGGCAGCUUGCUAAGCUAUAACUGACGCUGAGGCAAGAAAGCAUGGGGAGCAAACAGG
rnacentral:misc_RNA from 1 species